GCAUCGUCAGCCCAUGCCCUCCAUCCUUUCCAAUUCAUGGUGGCAACUUAGAGUGAAUUUCUGAACUCAAACGCCAUUUCUUUUUAAUAAAGUGAUGCUGGCUUUAAUUAAGAUGACUUGGCCACAUUAGUAGAGUUAGCUCUCUACCUUUAAAACUGCUGUCAUCCAAUCGCUAGGUGCCUGAAGCCAGCCAGCCUACUCCAAAAGCUGUUUUCCCCAUCCUCCCAAUCAGGGCGCAGGCAGGCACCUAAGGGCUUCCAAAGGACUUCUUGCCGAAGCGCUGGCCGAACCCUUCUGCACCAUUUGUCAUGGUCCUCAGCGGCAGAGAAUUGCCAAUUACCCACGUCAUCUGCUUUUGGAAUCCAGUCCAAACAUCGUCUGCUGAAAAUGAGCUAAAUUAUACAUUUUUUUUCCUGCUGAUUGUGGAUAAGCGAUCAGAGCAUUUCUAAAAUAUAUGGCUCUUUUCCAGGGGAGGAGUGAGAAUCCUGACACUUAAAACAAAUAACAGGGGCUAACCAUCGCAAUGUUCUUCCUAAGAUACACAGGAGCAAAUCUUUCUGUUCCUCACAAACAAGGGUUAUUGUCUUGGUUAGAGUGGAGAGUGGGAGGUGAAAAUGGCUUCAUGGUGAAUUUUGAUUCUACUUUAUUCUCCGCCCACUUGUGACUUCAACUCCCACCAGCGUUUUCUGACAUGCAGAGCAUGAUAAUCACAUGAAGGCAGCAGCUCCUGACAGCCGGCUACAGGCCAGCUUUCAUGUUGUGGGUGGCAUUAGGUAGAUAACCCACAGGAAUCGUCUCUGGAUCUGAGGUCAGGAGAAUACAGCCAAGGCUACACAAGACAGAGAAGAUUCCGCUGAAUUUCAAAAGAUAUUGAGCCAACCUUGGAUUCCUGGGAUAAAUUCUAGUUGGUCAGGAUUUAUAAUCCUUUUUAUAUGCUGCUGGAUUUAGUUUGCUACUAAUUUUUUGAGGAACU